CUCAAUUUCCUUGAACUUGAUAUCAUCACAAAAGAUGAAGCUCUAAGAGGUUUGUGGUCUUUAGCCCUUGAUUUCUGCGGAUAAAGCAGCUUGAUUCUCUCUUUUUUAGCUACAUGCAUAUAAAACAAGUCUCGAAUGUGUCCCCACAUGCAUAUAAAACAAGUCGCACUUAUUUCUGUGGAUAAAAGCAGCUUGAUUCUCUCUUUUUUAGCUACAUGCAUAUUAAACAAGUCUUGAAUGUGUCCCCCACAUGCAUAUAAAACAAGUCUAGAAUGUGUCCCCCACCCCCCCAAAUAUAUUAUUGUACACUCCAAUAUGUUAAUCAGGCUUACCGCUUACUAUUACUGUUGUGAUGUUGAGAGUAAUAAACCCCAAGUUUUUGUAAAAGGGAUGGAUGUAGAAGGAAAAACCAUGUGUUUUAGAGUGGAAGAGGAACUAAUAAGCUCAAUGGAUGUGUUAUGUGGAACAGAGGGGAGGUGAUAGAUCAAACACUACUAAUUUGGAUUAUUGUUUUUUAAAAAUGGUAAAGAACAAUACUAAUUGGACUAUUAGAAGCUAUUUGGCUGAUUAUCUAACAAUAGUAAUUGGACUAUUAGAAGCUCUUUGGCUGAUUAUCUUUCUCAAAGUGGAUAGUUUUCGUUGGUUGACACCAAGUAAGGUUAAUUAGCCAUCUCUUUUGGAUUUAGUAGUCCUUGGGUUGACAUUUGUUGAUGAAUGGUGAACACAAGACGGAAUUCCAAGAGUAGAUGCAACAUUGCUGGCUGGAAUUAGCUAAUAACUAUUCCAGUGGUAGCACGUGGGUUCAUUAUGCUCAGGUAUCCGGUAGGCCCUUUUUGCUUCAGAAGACACCAGCUGACUUAUUUGUCUAUUUUGAAAUGUCAUGCUUGGUGUCUUGCAUUGACUGUUUUUUGGGUAAAGACAGUAUUCCUUCCUUGAUUUUUAAAUUUUUGAAGGAUAAAGCGAGUUUAUUCAUCCCGUCUACUAAUUGUUAGUAUACUAUUUGCACUCCAUGAUGGAAUAGGACUAAACUGAUUUCCAUUCUUAACCCGAUCCACUGAGAUAAAAUGAUGUCUCUUCAAGGUGAUGUAGUCUGCAUUGCUGUAAUCUGUCAUAUCUGUAAGAUUUUCUCUGAUCAACUUACCAUUUCAUAAUUUCAUUAAAGUCCCUUUUUUGGGAUUAAAUCUUGAAUUCUUU
rnacentral:lncRNA from 1 species